rnacentral:lncRNA from 1 species
AGGAUCCCAUUCCCAGGGCCAGAUCCCAUUCCCAGGACAGGAUCCCUUUCCCAGGGAGGCGAGGAACUCCCAAGGGACAUUUCCAGGGACAGCUUCCCCUGUGCCUUGGAAGGGAUUUUUAAUGGGAUUUGUUCAUCCCAGCCACCUCUGCAGCUCCCAACCUCAUCCAACCCAGCCUCGGCCACUUCCAGGGAUGGAGUGGCCACAAAUUCCCGAGGCAAAUCCCAACCCCUCGGCGCCGCCGUUGGAUUCAUCCCGGAUCCGGGCUGUGUUUGCUCAGCGCGUGUGAUCGCUGCCCGCGCUCCUCCUGGAGCGCAGCUCCCCUUCCCCUUCUCCUUCCCCUUCUCCUUCUCCUUCCCCUUCUCCUUCCCCUUCUCCUUCCCCUUCCCCUUCCCCUUCCCCUUCUCCUUCUCCUUCUCCUUCCCCUUCCCCUUCCCCUUCCCCUUCCCCUUCCCCUUCCCCUUCCCCUUCUCCUUCUCCUUCCCCUUCUCCUUCUCCUUCCCCUUCUCCUUCCCCUUCUCCUUCCCCUUCCCCUUCCCCUUCCCCUUCUCCUUCUCCUUCUCCUUCCCCUUCCCCUUCCCCUUCCCCUUCCCCUUCCCCUUCCCCUUCUCCUUCUCCUUCACCCUCCCCCUCCCCCUCCCCCUCCCCGCCCCCUACCCCUUCCCCUUCCCCUUCACCUUCCCCUGCCCCUGCCCCUUCCCCGUCUCCUUCCCCUUCCCCUUCCCCUUCCCCUUCCCCUUCCCCUCCUUCUCCUUCUCCUUCUCCUUCUCCUUCUCCUUCUCCUUCUCCUUCCCCUUCCCCUUCCCCUUCCCCUUCCCCUUCUCCUUCCCCUUCUCCUUCUCCUUCUCCUUCCCCUUCCCCUUCUCCUUCUCCUUCUCCUUCCCCUUCCCCUUCCCCUUCCCCUUCCCCUUCUCCUUCUCCUUCUCCUUCUCCUUCCCCUUCCCCUUCCCCUUCCCCUUCCCCUUCCCCUUCUCCUUCUCCUUCUCCUUCCCCUUCCCCUUCCCCUUCCCCUUCUCCUUCCCCUUCUCCUUCUCCUUCCCUUCUCCUUCUCCUUCCCCUUCCCCUUCUCCUUCUCCUUCUCCUUCUCCUUCUCCUCCCCCUUUCUCCCCGCUCCCUGUUUUUCGAGCAGGGAACAAUUUUCCGGCCGCACCUUCCCGGCUGAUUCCGCCACGCUCGGGCGCAUCGGGAAUAAAAACAUCCGGGAAUGGAAGGGAUUGGAUUCCCGGGGCAGCGCCGGGAGCAGGGAAGCGUUUCCCGGCGGCUCCGAGGUGCGAGGCUGCGGCAGGAACGGUUCCAUUCUCCAACUGGUGCUGCUGGAUCUGCUGGGAAAAUCCCUUCCCAAAUCCCCUUCCCCAUCCCAAAGAUCCCUUCCAGGUUUGCCUUUGGAAGUUGGGCUGCAAUUCAGAGCUCAAAUUCCGGAUUUUAGCCCAGUCCAUGACCCAAAAUUCCGGAUUUUAUCCCCGUCCGUGA